rnacentral:rRNA from 1 species
UACGGAGGGAGCUAGCGUUAAUCGGAAUUACUGGGCGUAAAGCGUGCGCAGGCGGCUUUGCAAGACAGAUGUGAAAUCCCCGGGCUUAACCUGGGAACUGCACUUGUGACUGCACGGCUAGAGUACGGUAGAGGGGGAUGGAAUUCCGCGUGUAGCAGUGAAAUGCGUAGAUAUGCGGAGGAACACCGAUGGCGAAGGCAGCCCCCUGGGUCAAAACUGACGCUCAUGCACGAAAGCGUGGGGAGCAAACAGG